CAACCUCAACUCAUAUGGGACUACCCCCUGAAUUUAAGCAUAUUAAUUAGGGGAGGAAAAGAAACUAACAAGGAUUUUCUUAGUAGCGGCGAGCGAAAAGAAAUCAGUUCAGCACUAAGUCACUUUGUCUAUAUGGCAAAUGUGAGAUGCAGUGUACGGAACAUCAACAUUCUAGUAUGAGAAGUUAACGAUUUAAGUCCUUCUUAAAUGAGGCCAUUUACCCAUAGAGGGUGCCAGGCCCGUAUAACGUUAAUGAUUACUAGAUGGUGUUUCCAAAGAGUCGUGUUGCUUGAUAGUGCAGCACUAAGUGGGUGGUAAACUCCAUCUAAAACUAAAUAUAACCAUGAGACCGAUAGUAAACAAGUACCGUGAGGGAAAGUUGAAAAGAACUCUGAAUAGAGAGUUAAAUAGUACGUGAAACUGCUUAGAGGUUAAGCCCGAUGAACCUGAAUAUCCGUUAUGGAAAAUUCAUC
rnacentral:ncRNA from 1 species